UAGGGAAUCUUCCACAAUGGACGAAAGUCUGAUGGAGCAACGCCGCGUGAGUGAAGAAGGUUUUCGGAUCGUAAAGCUCUGUUGUUGGUGAAGAAGGAUAGAGGCAGUAACUGGUCUUUAUUUGACGGUAAUCAACCAGAAAGUCACGGCUAACUACGUGCCAGCAGCCGCGGUAAUACGUAGGUGGCAAGCGUUGUCCGGAUUUAUUGGGCGUAAAGCGAGCGCAGGCGGAAUGAUAAGUCUGAUGUGAAAGCCCACGGCUCAACCGUGGAACUGCAUCGGAAACUGUCAUUCUUGAGUGCAGAAGAGGAGAGUGGAACUCCAUGUGCAGCGGUGGAAUGCGUAGAUAUAUGGAAGAACACCAGUGGCGAAGGCGGCUCUCUGGUCUGCAACUGACGCUGAGGCUCGAAAGCAUGGGUAGCGAACAGGAUUAGAUACCCUGGUAGUCCAUGCCGUAAACGAUGAGCGCUAGGUGUUGGGGACUUUCCGGUCCUCAGUGCCGCAGCAAACGCAUUAAGCGCUCCGCCUGGGGAGUACGACCGCAAGGUUGAAAC
rnacentral:rRNA from 1 species